rnacentral:rRNA from 1 species
AAAGGUAGCAUAAUUAAUUGUCUUAUAAUUGAAGACUUGUUUGAAUGGUUGGACGUGGUAAUAAUGAAUAUCUACUAUUUAUUUGAAAUUAUUUUUGUGGUUUAGAAACCACGAAGUUUAGUUAGACGGAAAGACCCCGGGAUCUUUUAAUUUUGCUUGGGGCAAGUUUUUGUUUUUUACUUAGAUUAUGUUCCUAUAUAUGUUUAGAUUGGUGGGUUAAGUUACCCCGGGGAUAACAGUGUAAUAAUUAAUAAAAGAUCAUAUUGAGUUAGUUGAUUGCCACCUCGAUGUUGACUUAGGUUUGAAGCUGUGGGCGCAGUAGUUUACGGUUUAGGUCUGUUCGACCUUAAUUACCUUCAUGAGUUGAGUUAAGACCGGCGUGAGC